rnacentral:tmRNA from 1 species
GGGAGCGAAUUGCUUCGACGGUUAAUUCUUUUAAAAUAUGCGGGCCGAGUUCGCUAUAAUCUCGUUAAACUUAUACGCAAACAAAAUAAGUGCCAACUUAUUUUCAAAAGUAAAAGCGGCUUUUACGCCGACUUUUGCUCCGGUUUUAGCUUAAUUGCCGAAACCCAUCCGUCCGGCUGAUUCUCAAUAGGCCGAUUGCGGGUGUUAUCUUUUUGAGAUCGGCGGUUUUUUGUCCGGGAGAAACCGUUUAAAAAACACCAGAUAGGAAUUAAAAUAUUUAGCUUAAUUUUAAGUUUUAAUUCCGAAUCAAAAAAAUUAAGAUAAGCCCGUAGAUUUAUUUUAAAAAUAUUUUCUGGACGGGAGUUCAUUACUCCCCGCUUCCACCC